CAGUCGCCACGGUAAUACGAAGGGGGCUAGCGUUGUUCGGAUUUACUGGGCGUAAAGCGCACGUAGGCGGAUCCUUAAGUCAGAGGUGAAAUCCCAAGGCUCAACCUUGGAACUGCCUUUGAUACUGGGGAUCUCGAGUUCGGGAGAGGUGAGUGGAACUGCGAGUGUAGAGGUGAAAUUCGUAGAUAUUCGCAAGAACACCAGUGGCGAAGGCGGCUCACUGGCCCGAUACUGACGCUGAGGUGCGAAAGCGUGGGGAGCAAACAGGAUUAGAGACCCCUGUAGUCCCUGUCUCUUAUAC
rnacentral:rRNA from 1 species